rfam:Rhizoclosmatium globosum strain JEL800 BCR33scaffold_213, whole genome shotgun sequence.
AGGGGUGUAGUUCAAUGGUAGAACAACGGUCUCCAAAACCGUUAAUGUGGGUUCGAUUCCUCCCACCCUUA